UGGAUGAUGUGGUUUAAUUCGAUGCAACGCGAAAACCUUACCACCUUUGACAUGGCAGGAAUCCUGAAGAGAUUUGGGAGUGCUCGAAAGAGAACCUGCACACAGGUGCUGCAUGGCUGUCGUCAGCUCGUGUCGUGAGAUGUUGGGUUAAGUCCCGCAACGAGCGCAACCCUUGCCAUUAGUUGCUACGAAAGGGCACUCUAAUGGGACUGCCGGUGACAAACCGGAGGAAGGUGGGGAUGACGUCAAGUCCUCAUGGCCCUUAUAGGUGGGGCUACACACGUCAUACAAUGGCCGGUACAGAGGGUAGCCAACCCGCGAGGGGGAGCCAAUCCCACAAAGCCGGUCGUAGUCCGGAUCGCAGUCUGCAACUCGACUGCGUGAAGUCGGAAUCGCUAGUAAUCGCGGAUCAGCAUGUCGCGGUGAAUACGUUCCCGGGUCUU
rnacentral:rRNA from 1 species